AACACUUGGAAACAGGUGCUAAUACCGUAUAACAAUCGAAACCGCAUGGUUUUGAUUUGAAAGGCGCUUUCGGGUGUCGCUGAUGGAUGGACCCGCGGUGCAUUAGCUAGUUGGUGAGGUAACGGCUCACCAAGGCCACGAUGCAUAGCCGACCUGAGAGGGUGAUCGGCCACAUUGGGACUGAGACACGGCCCAAACUCCUACGGGAGGCAGCAGUAGGGAAUCUUCGGCAAUGGACGAAAGUCUGACCGAGCAACGCCGCGUGAGUGAAGAAGGUUUUCGGAUCGUAAAACUCUGUUGUUAGAGAAGAACAAGGAUGAGAGUAACUGUUCAUCCCUUGACGGUAUCUAACCAGAAAGCCACGGCUAACUACGUGCCAGCAGCCGCGGUAAUACGUAGGUGGCAAGCGUUGUCCGGAUUUAUUGGGCGUAAAGCGAGCGCAGGCGGUUUCUUAAGUCUGAUGUGAAAGCCCCCGGCUCAACCGGGGAGGGUCAUUGGAAACUGGGAGACUUGAGUGCAGAAGAGGAGAGUGGAAUUCCAUGUGUAGCGGUGAAAUGCGUAGAUAUAUGGAGGAACACCAGUGGCGAAGGCGGCUCUCUGGUCUGUAACUGACGCUGAGGCUCGAAAGCGUGGGGAGCAAACAGGAUUAGAUACCCUGGUAGUCCACGCCGUAAACGAUGAGUGCUAAGUGUUGGAGGGUUUCCGCCCUUCAGUGCUGCAGCUAACGCAUUAAGCACUCCGCCUGGGGAGUACGACCGCAAGGUUGAAACUCAAAGGAAUUGACGGGGGCCCGCACAAGCGGUGGAGCAUGUGGUUUAAUUCGAAGCAACGCGAAGAACCUUACCAGGUCUUGACAUCCUUUGACCACUCUAGAGAUAGAGCUUCCCCUUCGGGGGCAAAGUGACAGGUGGUGCAUGGUUGUCGUCAGCUCGUGUCGUGAGAUGUUGGGUUAAGUCCCGCAACGAGCGCAACCCUUAUUGUUAGUUGCCAUCAUUCAGUUGGGCACUCUAGCAAGACUGCCGGUGACAAACCGGAGGAAGGUGGGGAUGACGUCAAAUCAUCAUGCCCCUUAUGACCUGGGCUACACACGUGCUACAAUGGGAAGUACAACGAGUUGCGAAGU
rnacentral:rRNA from 1 species